CUCCAACCGUUCCAACACACUCACACACAGCAAUUGAACGCUGUGUAAGAAGGGGAAGCUAUACCUUGAUUCAUAUUUUCCAACUUAUAUUCGAACUUGGAAAGUAUUCCCAUUUUCCCUUUUAUUUGCAACAGUAUUUUGACAUACAAGGCACUCCGUAGUGGUAAAAUAGACGUAUUUACUUACUUAUCUUCAGUAACAGAGUAUAAGAGUUGUCCAACCGUUACUUAAGGAAUAUACAGUAGAUCCUAUCAAGAACCUGGUGGGUGUGUCAACAUGUGAGUCUGCCUUUAUUGGGCCGAUUGAUGGAUUCUGAAGUCGACGCACCAACACACACGCCAUCCAUCUUUUGCUGGGGACAUGGGCCGCCGGAAGGAUGGGAGGAGGGAUUACACGCAUGAGCACUAUACUACGUCCUCGCAUAAGUCAUCCGGCCAGGGAAAGUGUCACGUUCCACUGCUUGGUGGGAAUUGGACAGAGGAAGCAGGAAGGGGAGCCUAUGACAACAUCUGGUAGUGUUUUCAGAGUUGCCGGUGAAAUAUGACAUUUAAACAAGCGCCACAGAAAUUCAUGUUUCAGCAGCUAGGCUGCAAAAUUGAUUAAAAUUAACUUUUAUUGCGGCACCGUGAGUGCAAAAUUAACUACAUUAAUUGUCUUAAUUUUUGUUUUUUGGCUGCCAAAUCAUGAGGUCAUCUCCCUCUCUGUCAAGACAUUGAAGCUUAGAGAUGCUGUGGUACGUGACAGGAUUUUACAGUGUUAAACUUUCCAGAGUUACUUAUAAUAGAUAUUCUUAUCCGUAAUGUCAUGUUCAUAUUAAGUUAUAUAAGUCAUCUGGGAACAAGCCCACUGGAAAGGGAAUCUGAAGGUCUGAAGAAUUAAACUGUAGGAAAUAGCUUUUCAAAAAGGCAUUUAUAUUAGGAUCAUCUUGAGUUAUAAUAAAUACAGUACAUCAACUUUAAUUGUUUUUCAUCUACAGUAACAAAUAUAUGUAAACACUUGAAUGUGAACGUAAAUAAACAUAAACAAAAAAAUAUGUAUAUGAUGAUAAUAUAACAA
rnacentral:lncRNA from 13 species